CUAGUCUACUACAUCUUUCCUUCCUAUCUUCUUCUUCUUCUUCUUAAAAACAUCAUUUUACAGAACAAAUUCUUUUCAGAAAAUGAGCAAGUUAGUACAAUUACCAUAUGAUGCUACAGUGAAACUAAUGAUGACUUCACUUGAGCGUAAUCUGCUUCCCGACACUGUUAUCCGCAGACUCACUCGUCUGCUUCUUGCUGGUCGUCUUCGUUCCUGUUUCAAACCCACUUGUCACCAGCAACUUCAAGAUCUUUUGGCUUUUGUACAUUCUUUAAAAGAAAUGCCUAUAGCUGUGAAGACAGAAGACGCAAAAGCUCAGCAUUAUGAGCUGCCUACCUCUUUUUUCAAUCUUGUACUUGGGAAGAAUUUCAAAUACAGCUGUUGUUAUUUCCAUGACAAGUCGAGCACAUUAGAAGAUGCUGAGGAAGCAAUGCUGCAGCUUUACUGCGAGAAAGCACAACUGCAAGAUGGGCAUACCGUCCUUGAUGUUGGAUGUGGCUGGGGAUCUUUAAGUAUAUAUAUUGCACAAAAAUAUAGUAAUUGUAAAGUUACAGGAAUUUGCAAUUCAGUCACUCAAAAAGCACAUAUUGAAGAACAUUGUGGGAAACUUAGUCUGAAGAACGUGGAGAUCCUUGUUGCAGAUGUUAGUACAUUUGAAAUGGAAGGAUCCUAUGACCGAAUAUUUUCCAUUGAAAUGUUUGAGCAUAUGAAAAACUACAAGGAUCUACUUAAGAAGAUAUCUAACUGGAUGAAAGCGGAUGGUUAUCUUUUCGUUCAUUACUUCUGCCAUAAAACAUACGCUUACCACUUUGAGGAUGUCAAUGAGGACGAUUGGAUAACAAGGUACUUUUUCAGUGGAGGUACCAUGCCUUCAGCGAAUCUUCUCCUUUAUUUUCAGGAUGAUGUUUCUGUUGUCGACCAUUGGCUUGUGAAUGGGAAACAUUAUGCACAAACAAGUGAAGAGUGGCUAAAGCGAAUGGACAAGAAUAUAAAAGCUAUAAAACCAAUAAUGGAGUCAACCUACGGGAAAGAUUCAGCAGUCAAAUGGACUGUGUAUUGGAGAACGUUUUUUAUAUCGGUUGCUGAAUUAUUUGGUUACAACAAUGGAGAAGAAUGGAUGGUCACGCAUUACUUGUUCAAGAAAAAAUGAUAUCGAGAUUUUUAUGACCCAAGUAUAUUAAUCAUACAACCAAAUAAGUCGAUAUGAAGUGUAUCAGAAAUAAAGUAAACAGCUGCUGAAUCUAUUGGGAAUGACGAUUAACAAUGUGAUAAUUACCAACUGAUGUUGGCUGAUUAGCUACGGAUUUAGGUCGAUGUUGUUGGCAGUUUUCUACUAGAGCUAUAAGAAGGCAUCUGCGUGCUCCUGCUUAUUUAGUUGGUUCACAAGCAUUUAGGUCUUGGAUAGUUUGGGUGGUGAGUGGUGACAGGUAACAAGUAACGGCACGAAAACACAAGGAUAUAUGGUAAUUGAGGUGGAUGUCAACUAAUCCACCUUAAUCUGCUCAUAGGUCUUCAACAGUUCAACUUGAAGCUUUUCUUCCUUGGCUUUGUUUCGUUAAACUCAAAAGACUUGCUAUUAUGCAACAUUAGUAAUGGUUUGUAUAAUUGCUUGCCUCUUCAUUAA